rnacentral:rRNA from 1 species
AUUGAACGCUGGCGGCAGGCCUAACACAUGCAAGUCGAACGAGUGGCGGACGGGUGAGUAAUGUCUGGGCAACUGUCUGAUGGCGGGGGAUAACUACUGGAAACGGUAGCUAAUACCGCAUACCAUCAGAUCUUCCCAGAUGGGAUUAGCUAGUUGGUGGGGUAACGGCUAACCAAGGCGACGAUCCCUAGCUGGUCUGAGAGGAUGACCAGCCACACUGGAACUGGGACACGGUCCAGACUCCUAAGGGAGGCAGCAGUGGGGAAUAUUGCACAAGGGGGGCAAGCCUGAGGCAGCCAGGCCGCGUGUAUGAAGAAGUCCUUCGGGUUGUAAAGUACUUUCAGCGGGGAGGCGUUACCCGCAGAAGAAGCACCUGCUAACUCCGUGCCAGCAGCCGCGGUAAUAC